rnacentral:rRNA from 1 species
UACGUAGGGGGCAAGCGUUGUCCGGAAUCAUUGGGCGUAAAGAGCGUGUAGGCGGCCUGGUAAGUCCGCUGUGAAAGUCCAGGGCUCAACCCUGGAAUGCCGGUGGAAACUGUCAGGCUCGAGUCCGGAAGAGGCGAGUGGAAUUCCUGGUGUAGCGGUGAAAUGCGCAGAUAUCAGGAGGAACACCAAUGGCGAAGGCGGCUCACUGGACCGGUUCUGACGCUGAGGCGCGACAGCGUGGGGAGCAAACAGG